rnacentral:lncRNA from 1 species
ACAAACGCAGCUAGAGCAAAUAUGCAAUUAACUAUCAAAAUAAAACGUUGGUCUGGGAGAUUUGGACAAUUUCCACACGACUACAUAGCAAUAACUUUGCCCCUCUCCAUUUCCAAACUCCCUCUGGAGGCUCCAAGUAAACAUCAGAUUAUACACACACAUUUUUUACGGUUGUCAGAGGUAUGUACAAAGGAGGAAAAAUAUUAAGGAGGAAUUUCAAAAACUUUUAAGACUUUUCAAGGUUCGGAAGAGAAGAAUAGCAAAACGUUGGUGCUCCGUGCAUGAAUGCAACGCCUCAACAGGUUAAUUUUAUUAAUUCAGACCAUGUAGGUACCAUUCACACACUUCCUCAAGGAAACUGCAGCUGAAUUGAAAGCAAGCUGUUCAUGGAAAAUGCACUCAACAGUUGAUGUUUCCCUGCUCCCAAGGCUGCUAUGGUAUCCUG